UUACAGAAAAAUUAUUGUCUGUAGAUCCACAAACUUUGUAGAUUUAUUAAGUAGGUGUAAAUUGCUAUUUAAACCUUUUCUACUUUAGACAUAAAACAUCCAAGUGUAUCUUCAUUCAUCUUGUCCUACAAAAAUCAACUAAUCUCACGAAUACAAAACGCUUAAAUCUAAAUAAAGGAUAAUUAAUAAAGUUAAUGAAAAAUAUGAAAUCGAAAACUGAAUCUUUUAAAUUUUGAAACUCCGAAUUCUUUAUCACUUGCACCUUAAAUUGUUUCCAUAAGAGAGCAUUUAACAUAAAGGUAGUCGGAAAAGCCGAAACUUCGAACACUUUAACUACUUCCAUCACUCCAAUCAGAUUUCUUCCGUUUCCUUUUCAAUAAUACCCUUCCCGUAGCUACUUUGUACUAUGCUUCAGUUUUCAUUGACACUCGAGGAACGCGCUACACAUUCUCAACGUUCAUCCUAUCAAUCAGCUUCGAUUUUCCUCUUUAAUAUUUCCGCCAGCGACUACGCACAGAUGGUGAGACAGAUAGCUUACGAGCAACAGGUUGUUGAACGUGAACAGUCCCGUUUCGAUUCGACUAGCAGUAGUCAUAGCAAGGCCGACCAGCGCAGCACGACGCGGCGCAGCGCGGCGCCGAGAAGCGCUUAUUAGAAAGUCCCAAUGCGCCACCGGUAUGCGAUUGUUCGCCACGAUUGUGUCUUAUUUAGAUUCCUGCCGCAUUCUCGUGUUCCCCGUGGUCGUCUCUGUCGUUGUUGGACCGCGCCCGCGCUACUCUUUUCGUUGUGGCGACAGCGAGCUUUUUUCGUGACGCAGCUCGAUCGUAACCGAGAUCGGUUGCUACUGUUCGAUCUCAAAGUCCAGUGGCGGACUCCUCAGUAAGGCUCUCACCUAGCAGACCUAUACCUUAGACACAACGAGAGAAGACAGAAAGAGAAACUCCAACACGCGGAGAUUCCGAUCGACACGCCUGGUAUUUCCGGUUGAGGUGUAUCUCAAGAUCGGUGCGACAAACCGAUUCUUCGUUGAACACGGUAGCAAAAAUCAGGAUGACUUCAAAUACAGCGUAUAGAAAAAGGUAAACGGUGGAACGAAUUUCUGAAUGCAAUCUGGUUAGUAUUGUGAAAGGUAUUGAUUGUGUAUUGAAACGUUCGCUGUUAUUUAUUUGUUAGCCAGCUAUUUACGAGUAUUGACGCGGCAUUGUCAGCGAUCUGGGUCGAUUAAAUCUAUCGGGUUUCUGUGGGCUUUCAGGUUAUUCAAAACGGUAGGCGAUGCGAGAUAAAUAAUGUAGUCACCUACCCGUAAAGUAGUCACUGGGGAAAUGUUCUUUCUCGUUUUUAGAAUAGAAACUUUCUACGUUUCAUGCGAUAUUUUAAUGUUUCGAUCUAAAUUAAUUUGAGAAGUUAAUACGAAGAUUACCCAUGGUUAAAAUACUCAAAAAAAUCAAAAUCUACAUGAAAAUAUGUAAUACAUAAUGGAGAGAAAAAAUAAAUCCUCGCUUCAUAUACUGCAUUAAAUUUCCAAAAACUUUAUUUAAUUUCUAUUCGUAUCUCUAAAAAUGCACCGUUAUUUACCUGCAAAAUUUCUGCAAAGAAUUUUUAAUUGCUUAUUUUAACUCUGGUAGUAACGUUGGUCCUAGCGUCAAGGAUCCUCCCCUAAAAAUUGUCGAAUGAACACGCGCCACCAUAAGCUGUUUCGUGAAUAUAAUGGGUAGUAAAUUACCGUUUUCUUAGGUUCGCUGCGUACGACGGAAUAUUGUUUGCGAUGGUAAUUGUAAUGUUUCCCGGAUCUCAUUUGCUGGCUUUCAGCCGCUAAUAUACGGCGGUUUCGUAGCACGGGGCAGCGGUCCGGUCAUAACUCACUGAAACGCAACAACAAACAGUUCAUCUAGACUGGUGGUCGCGUGGG